rnacentral:rRNA from 1 species
AGAGUUUGAUCAUGGCUCAGGAUGAACGCUAGCUACAGGCUUAACACAUGCAAGUCGAGGGGAAACGAUAUUGGAAGCUUGCUUCCGAUAGGCGUCGACCGGCGUACGGGUGAGUAACGCGUAUCCAACCUGCCCACCACUUGGGGAUAACCUUGCGAAAGUAAGACUAAUACCCAAUGACGUCUCUAGAAGACAUCUGAAAGAGAUUAAAGAUUUAUCGGUGAUGGAUGGGGAUGCGUCUGAUUAGCUUGUUGGGCGGGGUAACCGGCCCACCAAGGCGACGAUCAGGUAGGGGUUCUGAGAGGAACGGCCCCCACAUUGGAACUGGGACACGGUCCAAACUCCUACGGGAGGCAGCA